UGGCUCAGAUGGUAAAGUGUCUGUCUGCAAUGCAGGAGACCCAGGUUCGAUCCCUGG
rnacentral:tRNA from 1 species